rnacentral:sRNA from 1 species
CAUAUUUUAACACUUUCAUUAACUGUAAAGCUCAUUAAUCAUGGCACUGUAGUAAAUGAUUAUUUUUAACAGGUCUAAUUAAGAUGUGAAACUUCAAAUGAAUUUUAUGUUGUAUAAUUCAGUUAUAUUAAUGUAUAUUUUGAACCCAGCAAAGUGCCUCCCAAGCUGUUUUAAAAACUGAUGGGACAGUGAUAGGAGACAAUACAAUCUCAGUUGCUCUAAGCCAUCCACCAGAACGUAAAACUUCACUACUGACAAGGUCUGAUCUAAGUUUGGGCAGUGGCAAGAAAGAAACAGUUUUUCGAGGCAAGGCAAGAACACAAGUAACAUUGUUGCCAAGAGCCUUGAGACAGUCUGGACAACAAGACACUGGUAGUGGAGACUCCAGUCAAGAGAAAGUCAAGACUGAGACCACUUCAAUGAACAAUGCUGACUUUAGAGCCAUGCUAUUGAAGAAGUAAAUACAAUUCUCUUGUUGUUCUCAUAUCAUCAAAGCAUUGUUUAAAUAAUCAUUUUGUUGUCAUUUCUAUACAAAGUAUUGUAUUUUAACCUGAUUUUAUUGUAUAACAUUUCUACUAAGUGUUAUAUUUGCUUAAUAAAAAAAACAAUUUACAAAAAAAAAUC